rnacentral:lncRNA from 1 species
CAGUCUGUCGAGAACUUCCCAGGAUUGGCCUCUGGUUUUCAGGGAGACACAGAACAAGUUGCUUAACAGUUUUGCCAGAGUACUUCAACACUGACUUGGAAAAACCCUUGCAGUUUCUGUCCUCAAUCUCUCUGAAGCAGAGUCUGCCAGUUAGACCGGUCUGCAAGAUGGACAGUUGCUUUAAAACGUUAGCAUACAUCUUCAGCUCUUGGAAAAGAAAGAAAUUUUCCACAGCCUUGAUAUUGAAAUCCAGCCCAAGGUUAUGAGAAGAAUAGAUGAAGGUAUCCAGCAGAUGAAUUGGGUUAAUUUGUCUUCAAGCCAUCAGUUCAAAUCUUGUUUAAAAUAAUAAGUUGAAAAGCAUUAUAUGAAAUGAGAUACUGCUCUUAUACAUUUUCUUAUUUGUGAAGUGUUUUACAUCACAAAACCAUUAGAAAAAUCCAUAUUAUGUUACCAUACUAAUGAUAAUUUCAGAAGAAAUGCUGAAGGCUUGGGGUUCUUUAGCCACCUGGAAAGUACACCUAGCAAAGGGUGAGACAGUGGCAAAAACAUUCGUCUUAAGGCUAUUUUAAGCUUAAG